AGUUUUUGGGAAACUUCUGUAAAAUGUAUCUGGAAUGAUACAGAGAAGAUUAGCAUGGCCCUUGCACAAGGAUGACACGCAAAUUCGUGAAGCAUUCCAUAUUUUU
rfam:Gavia stellata contig5359, whole genome shotgun sequence.